UUUUGGAGAGCGUUAUCUGUCUUCUGCACUCUUUAAUUCCGUUAGGCAUGAGGCGGAAAACUUGAGUAUUUGCUGAAAGUGUUGCUGAAUCGGCCUUUUCUUAUAUCACUGUUAUUCUCUCCUUUGUAUUCAAUUUCGAACAAUCUGCUUUCGCAGUUUAGAUUAAUUUAAUUAAAAUAUCGUUCAAAUAAAGAAAUAGUCCUGCAAUUACAAAAAAAUAACAAUUAUUCAAUAUUACCACCGACUGGGAAAACUCAUAGAUUAAUAUCAAAACAUAAGAAAGCCAUUGGGUACAUUUAUGAUUCUAUAGAAAAAAUUAUCAGUAAUCUUAACAUAUUUACAUAGAAGGAAACAUAAGAGCGAUUGAUUUUGUCGAUCUACGUUUGAUUGGUACGGUCACUAUUGAAUUUGGCUUAGCUGACUCUAUCUACGAGCUUAAGCAGUGGACUUCUUGGAGAUUUAUUAGUCUAAGCAGGAAACAAUAUUUUAAAGGUCAUCAUCAAUAAUCGUAAUACAUUUACAAAGAAAGAUGCGAGCGGUUGAUUUUGUUGAUUUACGUUUAAUUGGUACGGUUACUAUUGAAUUUGGCUUUAGCUAACUCUAUCUACGAGCUUAGGCGGAGUCAGCUGGACCAGCAAACAUAUUUGUUUGUGGGUGAUUUAUGCUUUGAUUACUAGUCUAGUAACUACCUCCUCCCCGAUACAAUUUGGAGGGCUUUAAAAAAAUUUAGGAGAACGAAUUGGACUUGUAGUAGUUUAGGAGAACGAAUUGGACUCGUAGUUAGUUCACAAGGCUCUGUAAUCGUUUGGACUUUAUGUUUAGAUUGAUUCGUAAGAGUUGAACUUUAGAUUGGGCAGGGGCUGCGCGAACGCAAGCCCCCACGGCAACAAAUUAUGACAUUGACUCUCCUACAUUGAGGAGAUCAUAGGCAGGCACCCCUUCAAAGUGCAAUGAAGGUCACCAGCCCAGGCCAUAAGCCUUCUUGAUCGCUCAUAGACCCUGUCCAGGUAAGUGCUUUACUCGGUAUUCGUCCUUUAUUUUUAUACCCAUACCGCCUGAUUUCUUUGACCUUAAUUGGUCGAUGUGGGACAUGCUUACUGAUGGCAGUAAUCCAAAAAAGUAGUUCGAAGGUUUUUUUAAGGUAUUUUGGAAAGUUAAUGGAUUGUUAGACGAAUUAUUAAGUGGGGGCAGUGGCAAAGCAACGAAAGCCAAGGGAGGAACCGCCCGUAUGGUUCGUCUGAGCUUGCCGAAAUUUUUAGUUAUGCAGCCUGCGCUGAGCUUGCCGGAAAGUUGGCUGGGGAGAGCCUCGGUUGACUUCAUGGUUGUGUGGGAGGGCCUCGAUUUUACUUCAACGUUGUCGUUUCUUUUUAAUAUAAAAUGAGGACAAUUGAUGACAAAUUAUGAUUAUUUUAAUAAAAUAUUGAUAUCCCUUUCCUUAUCUUUUAAGGAAUUGGAUCUCCUCCUGAGCAAAUGAUAAGGAUCCUCAUGACCACACAAUAUGGACCGUUAGAUUUUGAUAUUACGGCAACAAUUAUUAAAACUUUUAGAAGAACUCUCAUGUUUGUAACCGUUGGAUCAAGAUCCAAAAGUCCGUGUUGUGUGGUUAUGAGGACCCACCAUUUGCUCAAGAGGGGAUCCAAUUCCAUCUUUUAAAACCCCACCUCACCUGUCCCACCUAUACAACAACCAAAAACAUCUAUUUCCAUAUAUUUUGGCAUUUUGCAAUAUAUAUUUAUGUAAUCAUUAUACUAAAAGAACCAAAGCAUCUAUUAGACCAUUUCCAUCUAUUUCCGUAUAUUUUGACAUUUUGCAAUAUAUAUUUAUAUAACAUUAUUGUACAUUAAUGCAUAUUUUUGUUAACGUAUCCAUGCCGUCUUAUAUCCUAAUUUUUAGAAAAUAGUUGUAUCCCCGUAUUUGUGUUCCUAUCCAUGCUACAUAGUUACUAUCUGUAAGAAUUUGGUUGUUUAUAUUUUUUCGGAAUCUUUUAUCCUUUUAAAUUUCGCCUCCCAGAUGAUUUCUAGCUUCACCACUAAGGGGGGUGAUUGGAAAUUUAGGAAUGUACUUAUUUAUGAAAUAUAGUUUAACAUAGUAGUCGGUUUUUAUGUAUGCAAUUAGGAUUAAAGAAAUGUGGAAGGGUCUACCUCUAGACUAUAGUGGUUGUUAAUUAUUUGAAACCAAAAGUGUAUUCUAUUGUUUGGAAAUGAAAUUUGAAUAUUUUAUCGGCCACCUCAGUUUUAUGUCAAGAGUUUUGACAUCAUUGGGAGAACAUAGUGUUGGUUCAUUUAAUUUUCCCAACACAUAGUUUUUAAUGGCAUUUGAUAUAUGUUUAUGCCGAUUAUCGGAUUACGUGUAGUUGAUUAAGUUUAUUAAAUUUUAGUAUAACCUUGCUAAACCCUAAUCAUAAAUGCACUUUGGAUGUAAGAGCAAUGACGUGAUACUUUCUAAUAGUCUGUUCACUAAUUCGUAAUCAACAUGAGAAGAAUUGAACUGAAAAUGAGUAGAUUGGUAUUGAUUCAGAAUCAAAUUCAUAUUGAAAUUGUUUGCUAUUUUUGUAACCACAACUAGAACGGGCGGAAACACGAAACGAUGAAAACGAAAAACACUCGCACGACGAUGAGAAAGCUCUCACAGGAGGAUAAAAAGCCUCGAGAAUUAGAAAUCUACCCAUCUAAUUUGACGGUAUCGAAUUCGACCAUGUCUUCUUUGUCAGUAGUGUAUUACACUCUGCAGUUGGCAAGCAUUAGUGUUUUUCUUAGCACGUGCUCCCCUGGACCACACACUCUAAUUUGGGCUUAUUACAUAGGUUUUUUCUUAUCCUAGUAAACAUGACAAGUUUCUGUCCCUUCAAGCUGCCCUGGUAACCAUUUUUUCUUCCACUUUCUUCCUUUCUCUCCGUACUCUGUUCAAAUUUCCCAUUGUUUCACACUCUUGGGUCAAAUUAUCCAGCGAAUAAGAGAUUUGUAGUUUAAUUGAUUAACACGCGUUACACACGCACUUCCUCUCAAGUUGACUUGGUGAUUUUUGCCUUUUUACUUCUUCAGCUUCCCUCCAUUUUUCGCUCUCGUUUCACAUUAGAGACCAGCUUAAAAAAUACCAAAUAAAUAAAAGACUUAUAACUCAAACAGUUAACAAUAAUCAAUUAUGCACUUGAAGUCCGACGUUCAAUUUUCGCUAAAUGAAAAUUCUCUGUGACUUUCACUUUCAAGAUUAAAAUAUACCUACAGAGGAAGAAAUGUUCCAUAAAAGAAACAGAACAAGGACAACGGGACAAGACAACCUUUAAGUUUGACUGAAACUUAACAAACAAACGAAUAAAUAAAUAAGUAAAUAAAUAAACGCAGAAGUGCCCUUAUGGAAGUGCAAGGAGCCAUUUUCCAGAAAAUUACAAUACAAUUUUCUUUAUUUCUUCCAUACUCUGCCUGCAAAAGAUAAGGUUGGUCUUUAUUUCUUUAUUAAUAUUUAAUGACAUAAUUGAAUUGUUCAUUGCUUAUUAGCAUUUGGGUGCAAAAUAUAUUGCUUGAAAUCUUGAAAAUCUGCUGCUAAAUAUUGGACAAAUUCCAGAAUUAUCAUUCUGUUCUUUUUGCUCUGUUUAUGGUAAUUAACUGAUUUUUUUUUCAUAAUUUUUUUUAAUAAUUAUUGGUUCUUCAAAAUUUAGGUUGGGAGCUUUUGGUGGUCUUCUGUGUAAACAUUCUUGUUAAAUACUUGAUAUUUUUGUUUGUUCUCUAUUUAUUUUCUGCAUAUUUUGGGGUCUUCUGGGUUUGAUUCUGUUGACUAUUUCUGGGCUUUUGCAAUAUUUUGCUCCUAUAUUUUUCAAGUGAUUUUCUAAGAGGAUGAAACGAUUAAGCGUUUCGGGUUUUCUGGUUGCUUCUGUUUUGUUGAACGUUUGAAUCUGUUUUCCCUUCUUUCACAGCUUGCUGCAACAUAAGAUAAAUAUGGAAGUCAAAUUUGCAAUCAAGAACGAUGUCACCGAAGUAAGAUUUCUCUUCACGAAAGUCAAGCAUUCAAUUUUUAUUUUUCUUUGUUUUACCGUAUAUUUUAACGAAAAAUCAUAUUUUUACGCUAAAAAGUUAAUAUGAUAUUAUUCACUUUACCUUUUAUUUUGUCAUUUUUGUUAAAACUCAAAGUUUUCAAGUCAUUUUCAUUAGUUUUCUUUGUUUUUAUAUGUUGAUUUGGCUUAAGAUGUGCUCUCGUUGUACUCUUGGUUCUUGCAGCUGAUUGGAAAUACCCCGUUGGUAUAUCUCAACAAUGUCGUGGAUGGUUGCGUAGCACGAAUUGCUGCCAAGCUAGAGUCAAUGGAGCCCUGCUCAAGUGUAAAAGACAGGCAUAUUCUUUGCACUUUUUCCUUGGGAAUAUUGGUUUUCGUUUUCCUAGUAUGACAGCAAAUCAAAACUCAAGAUUACGAACGCGUUUGAUCUUAAAUUUGUAUAUGCAGGAUUGCAUCUAGUAUGAUCAGGACGCCGAGGAUAAAGGUCUAAUUACGCCAGGGAAGGUUAGCUAUAAAUCUUUUCCAUAUAUGUAGAUGUUUUUUCAGCAUGCAAUGGAGAUUUUACAAGUUUAAUCAUCGUUCAAUAUGGUUAAUACUUAUAAGGAAUGAGCCUCGCUCCACCCCCACCCCGCCAUUGUUCUUACUGCUGUGGCUGGUUCACUUUUCUCUGUACCCAAAAUAUUUUCUAGAAUUCCGCUAACAAAAUCUAUACAUAAAUUUUCUCUUUUGUUUCUGUUCUUUUGAGGAUAACAAGUUUGACUAUGUAAGGGAGUUUCCACUUACAUGAUCGAGAAUGUGGCGUGGCGGGUUUCAUGUUUCAACGAACUAACUUCCCUUGGUUCUUAAUAUGCAUGAUCAUCGGGAACUGAAGACUGUUCUCAUUGAGGGCACGAGUGGCAACACCGGCAUUGGAUUGGCAUUCAUUGCAGCAAGCAGGGGCUACAAGGUUAAACUAACCAUGCCAUCUUCAAUGAGUAUUGAGAGAAGAAUUGUGAUGCUAGCUUUCGGUGCUGAGGUGUACCUUACAGAUCCUGCCAAGGGCAUUAAGGGAGUCUUUGAUAAAGCUGAGGAGUUAUUGAGUAACACGCCUAACGGUUACAUACUAGGCCAAUUUGAAAAUCCUGCCAAUCCGAAGGUAACUUUUGGAGCAACUGUGACAUGUCUAGAUGGUUGAGAGAGUUUAUGAAUCGUUAUGUGACCAUUGGUGUAGAUUCAUUAUGAAACCACUGGCCCGGAGAUAUGGAGAGACACAGGAGGGAAGGUUGAUGCCCUGGUUUCGGGAAUAGGGACUGGGGGUACAGUUGCCGGUGCAGGGACAUUCCUUAAAGAGCAGAAUCCAGAGAUUAAGGUUGAAUUUUGUAUGUUUGUAUUAUAUAUACGAGUAUUACAUGAGUGCGUGAGGAGAAAAGUUAUUAAUAAGCAUUUUCUUUUGUCUAGGUGUACGGUGUAGAACCAGCUGAAAGCCCAGUCUUGAACGGUGGCCAAGCUGGUGAGUUAGUAUAAUGCUGGCGUUUUCCUCGUCUCUGGCUCUCUGCACUAUUGCUUCUUUGCUCGUGAAAUUCUUUUUCUUGUUGAACAUAUUACAACAGAACACGAAGAAGAUGCUAGGUUUUUCGGGUUAGCUAUUUGUCUUGCAGAAUGGAGCGAAAUAUGAGACAUGUUUCUUCGUCGUUAGAAUGUUAAACAAUUUGCAUAGUAUUACAUUUUAGUUUGAUUUGUUUAAGUGGCCUCUGCGGUUAAGUUUCUGUAGUAUGAAAUUACCGUUCCAUGGUAUUUGAGAUUUCGUCCUCCUAUUGACUGAUGCAUAUAUGGGUUUGUAAUAUCGUUGCUCGUGUCAAAGGGAAGCAUCUGAUCCAAGGAAUUGGUGCUGGUAUCCUACCUGUAGUUCUGGACAUUAGGUUGCUUGAUGAAGUUAUUGAAGUAAGCGUUCAGCUCAUUUUAUUGCAUGUCAGUUCUAUAAGUUCUUGUUUCAUUUUGGUGCCAACAACUCUAAUACAAGCACGAAUUUCUCGUUAAUGACUGCUGAUGUUUAUGUAACAUUUAGGUAACAAGUGAGGAAGCAAUUGACACCGCGAAGCAGCUUGCCCUGAAAGAAGGUCUUCUGGUAUGGUAUCAAUUAGUUAGCAUCACUUUCACUUUUGUAUCAGUGCUAGGAGUUUGUUAGACGAGAAAUUUGAGACUCCUCUUGUUGCACGCAUUCAUCAUUUUUCCAUUUACGGGGCUGAUUGUGAAAUUAACAUUGCAGGUGGGGAUUUCAUCUGGUGCUGCGGCCGCUGCUGCAAUAAAGUUGGCUAAGAGGCCGGAAUAUGCUGGAAAACUCAUUGUUGUAAGUCGAUUUUGCACUGUCCCUUUAGCUUACAUGAUCUAUUCGCUUAAACUUGGCUUGGAAUUGUAAAUUCGUAAUCAAAUGCAAUUCUUUCAAACAGACACUCCAGGAACUUAUUCCAUUUAUUUGUUACUUGUGCAGGCUGUGUUCCCCAGUUUUGGAGAGCGUUAUCUGUCUUCUGCACUUUUUGAUUCCAUUAGGCAUGAGGCGGAAAACUUGAGUAUUUGCUGAAAGUGUUGCUGAAUCGGCCUUUUCUUAGUUUCCUAGCUCCUUGAAAUAACACGAAAACUUUGCUCCAGUUUGAAAUGAAAAUAUUUCUGGGACCUUUUACCAAUGAACUAAUAAACUCUGGUUGAUGGCUUUCUUCUUGAUAGCAUCAGUAGUAGCAAUGUUAAGAAAAUCUGUGUUUGACCAAAAAUGAAUAGAAAGUUAAAGAAAAAGGAGUUCCCAGUAGUAGCAAUGUUAGAUUUUCUUGGUUUUUGUUGUUUGAUUGUCAAUUUCUAUCCUGACAAAAACAGUACCUGACAUAAACAAUAUCCAAUAAAAAUUGAUUAUACAAUUAACGGAUGUGAGUGGAGGAUCUUCACAAAAAGAAUCGAAUGAGGAUCCUCACAAAAAGAAUCGAAUGAGGAUCCUCUUGUUUGAACUGAUAUCCCUUUCCUUAUCUAUUAAAACCCCUCACCUGUCCCACCAAUACAACAACCAAAACAUCUAUUUCCAUAUAUUUUGACUUUUGCAAUAUAUAUUUAUGUAAUCAUUUUAUAUAAAACAACCAAAGCAUCUAUUUCCAUCUAUUUCCGUAUAUUUUGACAUUUUGCAAUAUAUAUUUAUAUAAACAUUAUUGUAUAUUAAUGCAUAUUUUUAUUAACGUGUCCAUGCCGUCUUAUAUCCUAAUAUUUAGAAAAUAGUUGUAUUGUUGUAUUUGUGUCUCUAUCCAUGCUACAUAGUUAGUACCAAAAGGAUUUGGUUGUUUAUAUUUUUCCGGAACUUUUUACCCUUUUAAAUUUCGUCCCCUAGACGAUUUCUGGCUUCGCCACUAAGGGGGUGAUUGAAAAUUUAGGAAUGCACUUAUUUAUUAAAGGCUAAAUAGCUAAAAUGGUCUAUGAGAUUUGCAUAAUCAAUAGAAAUAGUCAUUGAUUCAAAAUCAAUAGAAAUUGUCUCUGAGAUAAUCCAUCAUCCAUGAUUUUGGUCAUUCCAUUAAAAACUCUUUGGGUAAUUUUCAAAGCUUCGUAACUCAAGGGUGAUUGAAAAUUUAGGAAUGUACUUAUUUAUUAAAGGCUAAAUAGUCAAAAUGGUCCAUGAGAUUUGCAUAAUCAAUAGAAAUGGUCACUGAGAUUCAAAAUCAAUAGAAAUGGUCUCUGAGAUUGUCCAUCAUCCAUGAUUUUGGUCAUUCCAUUAAAAACUCUUAGGGCAAUUGUCAAAACUUCGUAACUUAAUCAUUUCACAACCAAAUUCGACCCAUAAUAUAUUAACAUGAAGAUAGGAAAGUGUAAAACAAGAUUAUAUAUAUUUGGAAGCUCAAUGGUUGCUGAAUAUGGCUGGAAAAUAGUCUGAAAUGUGACUGGUCCACUGGAAAACUGAAAAACUCGCUGGAAACUGGGUAAACUUUAAACAUUCAUAACUUCUUCAAUACUCAACGAAAUCGAGUGAUUCAAAAACCAAAAUCAUACUUCUCGACAAGAUGAAGAGUUUUUAAUGGAAUGACCAAAAUCAUGGAUGGUGGACAAUCUCAGAGACUAUUUCUAUUGAUUUUCAAUCUUAGGGACCAUUUCUAUUGAUUUUCAAUCUUAGGGACCAUUUCUAUUAAUUAUGCAAAUCUCAAUGACCAUUUUAGCUAUUUAGCAUUUAUUAAAUAUAGUUUAACAUAGUAGUCGGUUUCUUAUGUAUGCAAUUAGGAUUAAAUAAAUGUGGAAGGGUCUAACUGUAAACUAUAGUGGUUGUUGAUUAUUUGAAACCAAAAGUGUAUUUUAUGGUUUGGAAAUGAAAUUUGAAUUUAUUAUCCGCCAUCUCAGUUCUUAUGUCAAGAGUUUUGACAUCUUUGGGAGAACAUAGUGUUGGUUCAUUUAAUUUUCCCAACACAUAGUUUUAAUGGCAUUUGGUAUAUGCAUUUGCCAAUUAUGUGUAGUUGAUUAAGUUCUUUAAUUUUAGUAUAACCUUGCUAAAUCCUAAUCAUAAAUGCACUUUGGAUGUAAGAGUAAUGAUGUGAUACUUUCUAGGGAAUUUUUAUUUGGACCUAGCUAUCCUCUUUUCACACCAAACUUUAAUAUUUUUGCACCUAAAUUCUCAAUUUUACCCUUAGAAAAAACUAAAAGGGCAAAAAUGAAAAAAAAAAAAAAAAAACCUAACCAACCCCCCCCCGCGACAACAACACUGUUUCCGGCAACUCUCCUCCCAUCGCCGUCGAAUCUGCCAUCAGCGCCAUCGUUUCUCUUCCUCUUUCACUUCUUCCUCUUCCUUCUCUCUUGUUUCUCAAUUUUCGUCUCAGAUUUGAAUCCUAAUGAUUGAAAGGAUCAAAUCUCGCCCUGGUGAUUUUGGCCUUAAGUUCUUCAUCGUGACGAUGGGGGUUGGAACCGCCACUUUAGACCAAACCUUGGCGGUGAUGGAGCUUGCUGCUAAUGAGGUGGAACUAAGCGUCCUUGUUGGCGAACGCCGUGAACGACUAGCCGUCGGAGAAAGUAAGUUAAAGACAUAAUCAAAUGUGUAAGCGCUGGGAUCAAGUCCAACGUAACUUUUGUUAGCGGGAGAAGGCGGCAAAGCUAAAAUUGAGAGGGAGGCAAGUGGUGGUGGUUUGGGUGGUGGUGCAAUGUCAAGUUGGGGAUGGGUUUCAGCCGUUAGGCUGAAAAUGGGUGUAGAAAGAUUAUUUCGUAUAAGGGUAAAAUGCGAAUUAUGAAGAAUAAUUUUUGUUUGGGUUGUGAUAUCCGCACACCCCAUUUUACUUCUCACACACCCUUCUAAUUUUUGACCAUUGGAUCGGAUUAAUUGAAGAAGAUCAACGGACAAAAAUUAACAAGGGGUGUGAGAAGUAAUUUGGGGUGUGUGGAUAGCACACCCCUUUUUGUUAAUGGGUGUAGAAAGACAUAUUCUGGGUCUAAAUAAAACUACUCUACUUUCUAAUAGCCCGUUUACUAAUUCUUAAUUAUAAGAGGAAUUGAACUGAUGAUGAGUUAGAUUGGUGUAGAAUCAGAAUCAAAUUCUGGUUGAAAUUGUUUACUAUUUUUGUGGCCACGAGCAGAGCUGGCGGAAACACAGAAUGAUGAAAACGAAAAACACUCACUCGACGGUGAGAAAGCUCUCACAGGAGGAGAGAAAGCCUCGAGAAUUGGAAGUCUACCCAUCUAAUUUGAUCGUAUCUUUUUUAUUUUUAUUUUUUUAUUUUUUUUACAUUUUAUCAAAGAUACUUCUUCAUAAACAGGCAAAAGGAAUACAAGAUUAGGAGAAAAUUUUCAUUGUGAUGGGAAUAUGAGUGGUACAUCACGUGUUUUUAUGUAAGUGAUGAGAAAUUUUAUUUUUUAAGUUAUUAACUUUUUAAUACACAUAUCCCACAAUUUGUAUAAUGACACAUGGUGUACCACCCUGUGUGCCGAUCACACUAAAAAAUUACUCUAGGUCAGCUGCCAACUGCAGGACCAUAUAAAGAAGAAACUAAAAUACAGAUAGGCAAGAAACUUAAGGCCAGAUAAAGAAGACCACCAACAUAGCUGUGUUGUUGACCUUAAGAACCAAGCAACCACAAAAAUCAGUGUGGGCAGGCGAGGCCAUCCAUGGACAUGAAAUAAACUAGAGCAUAUGGGGGUCAGGAAACCCAAACUUCCAGAAUUAUCCAUCUUUUACAAUGCGAGAAAACACCAAAUUUUCGGACACACGAGAAAAUAUGUCUGCGCGUUGGUGCGGGAACUUGUUGUUUCAAGUGUAAUCGGAUGAAUAAAACACGUUUAAGUUGAAUAAAUUCAACACAAUUAUGAACAAAGUCUUUUUUAUAUACAUUCAAGUGAGCUGGCAUAUAAACACAUUGUACAAUUUGUGGGAAAAACUAAACGUCUUUGAUUAGAAAGAGAUGGUUUCCAAAAAAAAAAAAAGCAUUAGUUCACACAAAAUUUCGGUUACCAAAUCCAAAAAAAACCAAAAACAAAAAUGUGACUCUCUAUAUGGCUUUCUUACUACACAAAAAUAUUCCUUAGUUAAAGCAUGCCACACAUCAUAUGCCACACAUCAUCACAUUGCUAUUAUAUGAAGUAUAUUCCUCAGUGGCAAGCAAUAUACUCUCCUUAGCAUGACCUCUCAAUCCCCUCUCUUUAUCUCCCUAGAAUCGUACAACCCAUAAAGACAGUGCAUAGACAUACGCUCACACACUGAAGAAUGAACGCAUUAUAUUUAGUUGGCACCGUUCAACUUUAAAAGCAGUGAGACCUUCCAAAGGCACAGCCUAACUGGCCUUGGUUCAAAUAACCAAAUUGAGAACAACAAUUGAAUUUUAGAAAAGCUGUACAGAGGGGAAAAAAAAGAAAAAACAAUCCUAUCACAACUGAAAAACAAAAUCAAAAUGAACUGAAUAAAAUUUCAGCAGAGCUUGAACACUAACAUCCUUUGAAAACAUGUGUUGGUUACGUAUAAUAUAUAUGCGCAUAAAUUAAGAAAAUGACUUGAGUGCCCUAGCAGUAGUCUUUACGUUGAACCAAAUCACUAUUAGGUUAAAUGUAUUGAUUCACGCAUCUUCUUUUAUGUGCUAAAUAUCUACUAAAUUGCCCUACGAAAAUGACAUAAAACAACUUUUAAAAGUGACAAUAUAUGCAGCACCAGGAUGUUGCAGAACUCACUGCCCCAAUUUAAGAUUCAGUUUUUGUCCAAUGUAUGUAUAAGCUUAGAUACAUCUGAGAAUUUGCUUUUCAACAGUUGUUACUCUCAUCUUCUUUUGAGAGAGAUAGAUACAAGGGUUAAGAUUACAAUGGGGAAGAGUUAAGAAUCCCUCUAAAAUACUAAAGAAAAACAUACCUAGAAUGGAGUAAACAACUAUUUGUCUCCAUGUCAGUUUCUCAUAGCAUUUAUGCUGUUAGAAAGAUAGUGCUCCACUCCAGAAGGAUGGACAAAUUUACCAGAUGGAGACUGACCCAAAGAAAACAUAAUUAAAAGUUAGCAUCUGACGAACAAUUAAGGUGAUGCAAAAGAGCAACACGUGAUGUGAAAUUAUUAUACCAAAAUAUCUAAGGUCUGUUAAUCCAAUCACCCAAUAAAACAGAACUGAAAUUAAGCACAAUAAUAUCAAAAUUAAAAGGAAGGAAUAAUAUGAAACAUUGUGCAUAGAACGUUCGUGAGAAUGAAUCACACAACAAUCAAGGAUGGACAAAUCACAAAAGUGACAAUUAAAGGGCACCUAACAGACACCCCCAUCUCUCUCUCUCUGCAAUCGCAGAAAUCCCUCGGGUUUCAGGAAGAAAUGGAAAACGAAAUGCUUUUCCAUCCCCUACCUAUACCCAUACCUCCCUUACCCGUUCCCUUUACCCUCACAGAAAAUCCUCCCAUCUCUCUUUCUCACCCUUGUCCCAUCUGUCUGUCUGCAAAUUGCAAAAAAGAAACCCUAAACAAAUCCCUGAAAUCCCUCACCUAAAUCCCCUCACAUUUCUUUCAGAACACCCCCCUCUCUUUCUCUCUGCAAAACCUAAACCAGAUCUCCUAGAUCCUAUCUCAAACACCCGACAUACAACCAAGAAGCCAAGAUAUUAAAGCAAUCUCUACAUAAUACUUUGGAACAAUGAAGCAAAAUGGUUCUUGUUUCUUGUCCAAAACCGUUGGUGCUGCCGCACAUUGUUAUCAGUUAAGGGUUUAUCAAAACCCACCCAAAAAUUACCUUCAUAAAAAAUGCCACCACAAACCUAUUAAGCCCAGUCAAUCAAGAACCUACUUGAUUAAUUUCAACUCAGCAGAUAGUCUAGGUUUUUUGUUUUUUAUGCAGUAAUUAUAGAGCAAAUGGAUAAAAUUAUUGACUAUUUAUACACUAUUGUUGUUUCAUAAGCUUCUCAUUUUCUUAGUAUCAAGCUCUCUUUGUGGGCAAAAAUUAUAAUAAUAAUAAUAACAAUACUAAUUCAAUAAGUAAUGGAGAUUACCAAGGAAAUGAGUUUUAGGUUCUGAAUGGUUUACCGAUUCCCAUCCAUUUGGUGUGAAGACUUUCUUUGUUUUAUGUUAGUUGACGCACAAACUCUCACAAAUGGUGUUUCAACAACCGACCUUGCUCCUAACAAACUGCAAGAACAGAAAUUGCAUUAUAUGAAAAUAGUUGAAAAUUAUUCUUUUAAUCGUAAAUCAUAAAGUUCGAAACUUUCAAUCAAAAUAAUUCAGAACCUCAAACUGAGAACAAAACUUCUACAUUGAUAAUAACAACCCCGAACAAUGAACGAAACAUUGAACCGAAAUCAAAUCAUGUGAUACCUUUUCAGGUGAUGCCCCUUAUCAGAUCAGAUUAUGUACCCAAGAAUGGACUGAAAACAAAGCACUCAUCAGUGUAGUACAUUACACAAAAUUCCAUUUAAUUCUUCACCAAAAAAAAAAACAACACAUUUAAAUAACAAAAUAUAAAAAAAUCCAAGAAAGUAAGUUCAUAACCAACAACCAAUCAUCAAGAACAAACCCCAUCAAGCCCAAACCCAAAUACAAACGCCACUAACAUAAUCACCCAAAAUUCACUACAGUAAACACAAAACCCACCAAAAAAUUACCUUCAUAAAAAAUGCCACCAAAAACCUAUUAAGCCCAGUCAAUAAAGAACCUAUUUGACGAAUUUCAACUUAGCAAAUAGUUAGAUUAUUGCCCAUUAAACAGGUAGAUCAAAGUAAGAGUAUAUCCAGUUAAUAUUACAGUACAAAUUUUGCAUCCCAAGGAAAAAUACCAAAUUCAACCUCAACCAAUAAAAUAGCAUUAAGGAAUGUGAAUUUUCAACUAUUUUGACCAAAUAAACAACUUUCCAUUCUAAUUUCAUCAAUUUCUCGGUAAAUUAAAAAGGCAAAAACAUAUAAUUAGAAGCCAAUUCAACAAUUAACAAAAAAGUUACAAAAAUUAACUCAAAUUCGGUAGCACAGCCUGCUAUAAAGUAGAGGAAGUGUAUGAGUAAUGGAUGUCCAGGGUUGGUCCUUAUGCAGAAGGAAGCAUAGGAAGCAUAAAUGGGAUAUCAAGUGAGGAUCUCAAGUAAAUUUGCAACAACACAAAACCCAACCAGCAACAAUUUGUUCAUUACAUCUUAAAACACAAAAUUUUGUCCGAAAAAUAAGACAUUUAAUGCAGAAAGCUCAAAACUUUGCCUCUCAAAACUAACAUCUGAGAGAGCAUUGCACUUCUUAUCUUUAAAAGCAUGAAUGGUGAACUAAACAAAAGAAUUAAGAAUCUACAAUGAACUAAAUAAAAACACACUUUUUACAAACAUAUUCGCACAAAAAUUAAAACUGUAUUGAGAAACUCACCAUUUUGACAAAAAAAAAAUUAUACCAGUAACUGAACACAAUAAUAAAUGAUUUUAGGAUACUUGUUCACUAAUAUAAAUUUGCAAGUUUAAGAGACAAUGACAACCUGAAUCCUUAAAAAGGUUAUUUACACCUAAAAUGAAACAGACAUAUCCAAAGGACAUAACAUAGUGAUCUUUUGUGAGUUUAAUAUCCGGACUGGAGUUUUUAAUUUUAUGUGGUGUUUGCUGUUCUGAUCUGCCCUUUGUAGGGGUUGUGGUUGGGUUGUUCCAGGGAGGUAUGUUAGACUGUUUACUGGCCCGGAACAGAUGUUAAAAUGAUGGUGCCUUCCUUAAGAAGAGAUAAGACCAUAUCGCAUGACAACUUUUAAAAUAUACGGGUUCAUAUAACAUAGAAAAAUGAACAAAUAAAUGCACACCCAAACUACAUGUGCCAGUCAAAUUAAAGGAUGACUUCUUGCUGAGAACAAAAGUAUAAAAAAAAUGAAUACUUUACCUGCAUAUAUCGCACGACAGUGCUAGUAUAAUCAACUGCUUUCCUCUGUGUAAGCUUUCUCAUCUUUUAUCCAAGAAAAGUGUCAGCAUGAGCUGCAACAAACAAACAAUUUGUCACUCAUUAUAAAAAAAAAGGGAAACUAUAUUAAAUUCUGCACUAAACCUCUCAAAAAAAUUAAACCACUAUUUUCAAAUAUCAUUUACACCCUUGGCCUCACUGCCCUACCCUUUUAAAUUGCAAAUCUCAAUAACUUCAAGAUCUAAAACCAAUUCUAAAGGUUUAAUGCGCUUUAAAGUUGAAAAUCCCAGUCAACAAAAGAAGUAUAAUGCAACCAAAUUCUUGUUUAGGUACUUCCCCACAAUUCAAUUGUUUUCUUUUAUUCUCCAUUAAUUUCCAACCGAAACCGAAAAGAACCAGAACAAAAUAGCAAAGACAAAGGCAUAAUUUGGUACAAACCAUCAUAAGGAGGAAGAGGAUGAGCAAGCACAGGUGGGUUGUGAUACUUCGGGGGGCAUACCGACGGCUGAUGCAUCAUUGGGGCCGGUGGUGCCCAGGGGGGGAUAUGAAAUUCUCCGCCCUGCUGUUGACGCUACUGGUGUUGCAAAUGUUGCUGCUGAUGUUGAGGGUGUUGCCGCUGAUGUUGAGGGUGUUGCUGCUGAUGUUGCGGGUGCUGUUGUUUGUGGUGUUGUGGAUCAGGGUACAUCAUUGUCACCCCAAAUCAAAGUACUAUGAGGAAGAGAGAAAGAAAGAAAAAAAAAAAACCAAAACCCUAGGAUUAGAGAACUGAGAAGUGGAAAGUUGCACCAAUUUAAACGCCUUCUGCCAAGCUAAAAAUUGAAUUCAAUUUGCAAAAGUAGUCACACUGGCUAUGAAUUCAAGUCAAAGAGGGCCUAAAGAGUGAAAUUUAGAGUUUCAACACAACAUGGCCUUCUCAUAGAUAUGGUUUCUUUUCAUGAUUUGAGAGAAAAACCCAUCAAUCGAUUGACAGACUUGAACAAUUAGAAAGUAGUAAAGCAUGUAAAAAGCAUAAGAUUUAAAGCUGUUAUGGAUCCAUAUUUCACUAAAGACCACACACGCAGAAACAACCCCCCCUUUUUUCCUUGAAAUCCUACGCCCACCCCUGUGACUGUGCAAACCAUGCAAACCUCUUUGUGACACCGACAUCACCUCUCCCCCCUUCAAUUAAAUGCAUGAACAUCAUACAGUGAAUUACACAUAAAGUACAACAUUAUCAAGUAUACCUCAAGGCGACAUUGGAUACAAUCAUUUUCAAGUCUUCAUCUCUGACACCAAGAGCACUCAUUCGUUAUACAUUUCUUUAUUAACUGAUCAGCUAACUGAAUUUAAAAUUAGCUUCCAAACCAAAAAAGUUCUGAACUUUUAAUUCUACAAUCAUAUUGAGUUCUUCAUCUCUUACUCUAAAUCCCAAUUACAGAAAGACCUAAACUUUACUCAAUUUAAUAUUGCUUUCCCCCAAAACAGCACAAUCCCACAAAAAUAAGGUUAAAAUAAAAACAACAAUAAAUCAUGAAUUAAAUUAAAUUUCUCACCUCCACCUCUAGUAGAGCUUUCACAUUCUUAACCUAUCACCAAAAAAAAAAAAAAAAAUCAAAUUCAAGUAAAAAAAAUAAAGGAGAACUUGAACUUCCAAAUUAAUUGAAAGAACUAUAAAAUCAAUUGGGGGUUUCUACUGAAGUGAAAAGUAAGGGUUUUACAAUCUCAUAAGGAUCGAUGUCUAAGGAGAGGAUCUGUUCAUCUCCGUUCAUCACUAUGAUCUUAUCUUCUUCAAUUCGUCGCUGCGAUUGGAUCUCCAAUCACACACACACACACACACACACAAAAUAUACCCAAUAACCCAAAAGCUAGAAACUAAAACCUAAUCACCCAAAAUCCCCAAUCCUCAACCAAAAACAUAAUCAGUCACAUAUACUACAUACUGAAUCAAAUGCGGAAACUCAAAUCAAACGCCUUCAAUUGCCUAAAGUUUCAAAAUUCAAUCAUUUUGUCGAGCCUAAAUUUGAAAAAUUACAAUCCCCUCUUGACUAACUCCAUCCAAAGAUUCGAAAUACCAGAAAGCAAAUAAUUGUACUAAAAAUUAAGUAAAUUAAGUAUAAAUUAAAAUCAACUUAACAAAAAAACAACAAAGCUACCAAUCACAAUAGGAAUUCUGCAACUACACACUAUUUACAGUGCUAUGCAAAACUCAUAUUUGAAUGAGGGCCUUUACUAUUGAAUUGAAAGAUGGCUGUUCUUUUUUUAAAUUAGGAUGAUCUCACCAAUCAAAAUUACAGCGCUGUGCAAAACUAAUAUUCAUAAUCUAUACCAGCUCUAGCUUGCCUCCACCCGUAACAGCUCUGGUAUGAGAAAUACAGCGCAAUUAGGAUAGAGGAAACCCAAAUAAUGGAAAUUCAAGAAAUUCAACAUACCAUAAGAUUCUUUCUGACGGCCAAAUUCAUCGACAACGGAGGCAAUUGUUGACCGUCACUGUACCUCCAAUUCGCGCCUGCCAUGUUUGAGGCUUUCAACCGUCACUACUUGGUUUGUGGGCUUCACAUCAAAAGAUAAAGGGCCUUAUCAAAACAGAUCCCACUAACCUCCCUAUUUAAAAACAGAACGUGAUUUAGGUGAUUAAAACUCAUUUGAACAAUCAGCAAAACUUGAGUGAAAACAAUUAACUAAUUAACCACUUGCACCCUGCUCACAAUGAAAAGCAAUUUCAAAUCAACAACCAUAUGAAUCCAGAUUCAUUAACAGGGAUGCUUGGCUGAUAAGAAUCCAGGGCACAGAUGAAACCUUGCUAAACUUGGCAUUUCGUCAUUCAAACAAUUGAAUGAAAGAACAAAAUUAUGUCCAAUCAUUCACAAACAACCACUUUUGCCAUAAUUUUGUUCUUUCAUUCAAUUGUUUGAAUGACCACAUGCCAAGUUUGGCACGGUUUCAUCUGUGCCCUAGAUUCUUGUAAAACACGAAGUUUAAAGAAACAUGAAGCUUUAAAGUAACAGAGGCAUAAAUGAAAAACCUUGGAAUAAACUUAACUUAAAUGUAAAAUGGCAAUUGGGUUAACAAAUCUUGGAAUAAAACUAAAUCACAAAAUGAAAAGCACCUCCAAUAAAUUGACAUUUUAUACUUUUGGCUGGCCAAAAAAUAUCUAUCUUUGCUGGAAUAUGCAAAUAAAAAUGCAAAUUGACAAAAACAUUGAAAUUGAAAUGCAUAGAAGCAAAGCAAAUUACAAAACCUUAAACCAAAUGACAGCUUGGAAAUGGAAGCAAAUGUGUGAACUGUUUUUAAUCAUUUAGGUUUAAAUGAUUGGCAAAAGAAAGAGCCAUUCUUUGAAUCAACAUGAUAAAAAACAGAACAUGAUUUAGGUGUUCAAAUAACCAAAACUGAGAAAAACAAAUUACGAAAAAAAUUGAGAAAAACAAUUAAAUUUAAAUGCACAGAACAAAACAAAUUGAGAAAAACACUUAAAUUGAGAAAACUCUUAAAUUUCUUUAUGCACAGAAGUAAAGCCAAGCAUAAAACGUCAAACCAAAUCACAGCCUGUAAAUGUCAGAGCUUCAAAGCAUAGAUAUACUCUAAAUCAAAUAUAAUUAAAGCUAAUCAAACGAAAUUAAAGCUUAUUAAAACAAAUAAGAACUUGGAAAUAGAAAAGCAGCAUAAUAAAAAAAACGAAAAAGCAAAGAUUGAAGAUGGAAAAGGAACCUGCAAUUAGGUUCUCGAGACGCAAAGAGACCAAGAGAACGAAAAAAUACAAUGCAAGAAACCCUAAUUUAUUAGAAAAAAUCAUGAACAGUUAAAACCUAGGUUUAUUCAAACAGUAAUCUAGGAAUUGAAAGAAGGCUUACAUUUUGAAUCGAAGGGAAACCAGCAACAAAAGGCUUCAAUCACUACCUUUGUAUGUUCGAUUGAUCAGUAAAAUACACAGAAUAAGAGUUACAUCACAUAGCAAUAAAUUAGAGAGAAUUCGAAGACAAAAGGAGAUUGAAAUGUGUAAACCUCACAAACAUCACAAACCCUAGAAUUCUUGCCGACCAAAAUCACAAUUUCGAAUCUGAAGCUGCAUGAUAUGAAUAGAGUUUGUAAACCUAAUCCUAAAGCACAAAAGAUUUGAAACAACCCUAGGUAGAGCUUUCGAAACCAACCCCCUUUCUCUCCCUCGAAUCGUACACCCCCUGUGACUCUGUCUGCCUGCAAGCCACAUGCCUUCCUCUCACCAAAUCUCUAUCUCUCUCCCUCCCUGUCUCUCUUCUCUCUCUGCUCGCUCGCUUUCUCUCUCCCGACGGCAUGCUGUCCCCGAGUCCCACUGCAGCUCAUCAGAAAGAAAGGAAAUGAAAGUCUCUAACCCACCCAUCCCGUUCGAAACCCUACAGACUAAAAUGACCAUCGCACCCCUGCCUUUCCAUGAUUAUAACACGCAGCAUGAAGAUCAGCAGCAGAGAGAGCCAGUGGCAUCCUCGUAAAUAAAGUGAAAUUGGGGUCCAAAAACAAUGAACAGUAAAGAACAGUGCCAAUUGGAAUGCUUUCUUUAGACUAAAGUAAUUCCUCUUUUAUAAUUUGAUCUUAUCUAAUUCGACCAUAUCUUCUUUGUCAGUAGUGUAUUUAAACUCUGCAAUGUGAAAGCAUUAGUGUUUUUCUCAGCACGUUAUCCCCUGGACCACACUCUAAUUUGGGCUUAUCAUAUAAGUUUUUUCUUAUCCUAGUAAACAUGACAAGUUUCUGUCCCCUCAAGCUGCCCUGGUAACUUUUUUUUCUUCCACUUUCUUCUUUUCCCUCCGCCCUUUGUUCAAAUUUCCCAUUGUUUUACACUCUUGGGUCAACAAUUGGAUGUUAGCUUGAAUUAUUAUCCAACGAAUAAGAGACUUGAAGUUUAAUUGAUUAACACGCAUGACACAACGCUUCCUCUUAAGUUGAUCUGGUGAUUUUUUCCUUUUACUUCUUCUGCUUCCCUCCAUUUUUCGCUCUUGUUUCUCGUUAGAGACCACUUAAAAAAUACUGAACAAACAAGAGACUUGUAGCUGAAACAGUUAACAAUAAUUAAUUAUGCACUUGAAGUCCAACGUUCGAUUUUCGCUAAAUGAAAAUUCUUUGUCACUUUCAAGAUUCAAAUAUACCUACAGAGGAAGAAAUGUUCCUUAAACGAAACAGAACAAGGACAACGGGACAACCUUCGUGAAACUUAACCAACAAACGAAUAAAUAAAUAAGUAAAUAAAUAAGGAGUAUGAUUAUUUCCCCUCUUUUUUUCAUCUCCUUCUUCUCACAUUAUCUAUUUUGUCUUUCUCUUUUUAUAAAAAAAUAAUAUAAGAUGUUGACGUGGCUUAAUUGUGACCGUUCAAAUAGGAGGAGAGGGAAGGAGAAGGAACAAAAAAGGAGAGAGAAUCAUACUUCAAUAAAUAAACGCAGAAGUGCCUUUAUGGAAGUGCAAGGAGACAUUUUCCAAAAAAUUCCAAUACAAUUUUCUUUCUUUCUUCUAUAUCUCGGCCUGCAAAAGAUAAGGUUGGUAUUUAUUUCGAGUUUCACAUGAUUUAUUAAUAUUUAAUGACAUAAUUGAAUUGUUCGUUGCUUAUUAGCAUUUGGGUGCAAAAUAUAUUGCUUGAAAUCUUGAAAAUCUGCUGCUCAAUAUGUUAGUGUGUAAAUUAUGAUCUGAUGUGGCAGUUGCAAUUCCAGCUCAUAUUGCUAGGAUGUUUAGCUAAAUUGGUUGUAUGCUUAUUUAUUUAAGUCUCAUAGGUCUUAAGUAAGUAGACAUGUGUUUUCAUCUCAUAGGGUGUAAGAUGGAAGGCUGAGAUUGUUUUGAUGUAAUUUGAAUACUACCAAAAGAGUGCAACGAUUAGAAGUGAGUGGAAUUCCCUUCAUCUCUCAGAUAAAUGAAAUGGUGAAUGUGUGAAGAAUAUUCAGAGUCAUAUUCAUUUAAAAAUAGCUCAAAACCCAUGAUAUCUCAUGGUUUUCAUUUAUCAGAAAAUAAGAAUAUUUUAAACACAUUACAUAAAUAAUUCACCUCAAUAAUUCAAGCUUUGGCAAGGCAACUCAACUAACAUCUCCACAAACCUCAAACCCUAGCUCGCUAUCUCUCUCUAUACCUAUAUAAUAUAUAUACACACACACGUACAUACAUAUAUAUACAUAGAUAUAUACUAAUGUACAUCACCCCUACGUAAUGCAUGCAUUGCAUGCUUCUGUGGUUUCAAAAGAAUGGAGCCCUUGCUCCUGUUUAUUGGGGAUUGGAGUCGGUUAUAAUUAACGUUAAAUGCAUGACUAAGCCUUUCAAUGAAGUGGUGGCAAUAGAAUGUAAGAAAUCAUCUAGGAUAUUGACAGCUACAGCCUACAUGCAAGACGUGUUCUACUUAAGUUGGAGGUGUCAUGAACACGGGUUGCCAAGUAUAAGAGUCAUCAAAUUGUAGGUGCAGGUGUCAAAUGCAGGGAUUAAGCAUGCAACACGUAUAAGCUAGUAGCUGCAUACGAUCAUCACAAUAGAGUGCACAAUAAGCACUCGUAAUGAUUGCUGAAGUGAUGAGAAGGAUGAAAUGGAGGUGGUGCUGUCAGUUUGCAUGAAGUGAGAAGAGCAGGUGUUGCAUUCGUAGGAAUGCUUGAGGUAGAUUGACAGGUGGUAUAGUAAAAAUAGGAAUUGGAUCCCCUCCGAGGCAAACCCUCGGGAUCUUCUUGGAGUGAAAUCAGUUCACAUUUUAAAAGGGGCAGUUAGUGUGUAAAUUGUGAUCUGAUGUGGCAGUUGCAUUUCCAGCUUAUAUUGCUAGGAUGUUUAGCUAAAUUAAUUGGUUGUAUGCUUAUUUGUUUAAGUCUCAUAGGUCUUACGUACGUAAGUUGAUAUGUGUCUUCUUCUCAUAGGGUGUAAGAUGGAAGGCUGGGAGUGUUUUGAUGUAAUUUGAAUACUGCAAAAGAGUGCAACGGUUAGAAGUGAGCGGAAUUCCCUUCCUCUCUCAGACAAAUGAAAUGGUUCUCUGUUCUCUCUCUCCCUCUACUAUCAUCUCUUCCAUUUUCGUACUGUAAUUUCUUCUAUUCUCUGAGGAAAUCUGUGUAGUCAUGGCUCACAGUUGCAUAGCUUACUCGAACACUAACAAAAUAUUGGACAAAUUCCAGAAUUAUUAUUCUGUUCUUUUUGCUCUGUUUAUGGUAGUUAACUGAUUUUUUUUUCAUAAUUUUUAUUGGUUCUUCAAAAUUUAGGUUGGGAACUUUUGGUGUUCUUUUGUGUAAACAUUCUUGUUAAAUACUUGAUAUUUUUGUUUGUUCUCUAUUUAUUUUCUGCAUAUUUUGGGGUCUUCUGGUUUUGAUUCUGUUGACUAUUUCAAGUGAUUUUCUAAGAGGAUGAAAAGAUUAAGCGUUUUCGGGUUUUCUGGUUGCUUUUGUUUUGUUGAACGUUUGAAUCUGUUUUCCCUUCUUUCACAGCUUGCUGCAACACAAGAUAAAUAUGGAAGUCAAAUUUGCAAUCAAGAACGAUGUCACCGAAGUAAGAUUUUUCCUCACGAAAGUCAAGCAUUCUAUUUUGACUUUGAUUUGUUUUUAGUUUUCCUUUGUUUGUAGGGAACUUUAACGAAAAGCUUCCGGUACUAUUCACUUUAACAAAAAAUCAUAUUUUUACACUAAAAAUUCUACCUGGUACUAUUCACUUUACCCUUUAUUUUGUCAUUUUCAUUAAAAUUCAAAGUUUUCAAACUCUUUUCAUUAUUUUUCUUUGUUUUGAUAUGUUGAUUUGGCUUACGAUGCGCUCUCGUUGUACUCUUGGUUCUUGCAGCUGAUUGGAAACACCCCGUUGGUAUAUCUCAACAAUGUCGUGGAUGGUUGCGUAGCACGAAUUGCUGCCAAGCUAGAGUCAAUGGAGCCCUGCUCAAGUGUAAAAGACAGGCAUAUUCUUUGCAAUUUUUUCCUUGGGAAUAUUAAUUUUCGUUUUCUCCUAGAACGACAGCAAAUAAAAACUCAACAUUGAUAUACACGUUUGAUCUUAAAUUUGUAUAUGCAGGAUUGCAUAUAGUAUGAUCAAGGACGCCGAGGAUAAAGGUCUAAUUACGCCAGGGAAGGUUAGCUAUAAAUCUUUAGGAAAACUAAUGAAAAGGGUAUCUGUAGAUGUUUUUUCAGCAUGUAAUGGAGAUUUUACAAGUUUAAUCAUCGUUCAAUAUAGUUAAUACUUAUAAGGAAUGAGCCUCGCUCCACCCCCACCCCGCCAUUGUUCUUAUUGCUGUGGCUGGAUCACUUUUCUCUGUAUCCAAAAUAUUUUCAAGUAGAAUUCCGCUAACAAAAUCUAUACAUAAAUUUUCUCUUUUGUUUCUGUUCUUUUGUGGAUAACAAGCUUGACUAUGUAAGGGAGUUUCCACUUACAUGAUCGAGAAUGUGGCGUGGCGUGGCGUGUUUCAUGUUUCAACGAACUAACUUCCCUUGGUUCUUAACAUGCAUGAUCUUCGGGAACUGAAGACUGUUCUCAUUGAGGCCACGGGUGGCAACACCGGCAUUGGAUUGGCAUUCAUUGCAGCAAGCAGGGGCUACAAGGUUAAGGUAACCAUGCCAUCUUCAAUGAGUAUUGAGAGAAGAAUUGUGCUCCUAGCUUUCGGGGCUGAGGUGUACCUCACAGAUCCUGCCAAGGGUACUAAGGGAGUCUUUGAUAAAGCCGAGGAAUUAUUGAGUGACACGCCUAAUGGUUAUAUACUUGGCCAAUUUGAAAAUCCUGCCAAUCCGAAGGUAACUUUUGGAGUGACUGUGACAUGUCUAGAUGGUUGAGAGAGUUUAUGAAUCGAUAUGUGACCGUUGGUGUAGAUUCAUUAUGAAACCACUGGCCCGGAGAUAUGGAGAGACACAGGAGGGAAGGUUGAUGCCCUGGUUUCGGGAAUAGGUACUGGGGGUACAGUUGCCGGUGCAGGGACAUUCCUUAAAGAGCAGAAUCCAGAGAUUAAGGUUGAAUUUUGUUUGUAUUAUAUAUACGGAUAUCACACGAGUACGUGAGGAGAAAAGUUAGUAAUAAGCAUUUUCUUUUGUCUAGGUGUACGGUGUAGAACCAGCCGAAAGCCCAGUCUUGAACGGUGGCCAAGCUGGUGAGUUACUAUGAUGCUGGUGUUUUCCUCGUCUCCGGCUCUCUGCACUAUUGCUUUCUUUGCUCGUGAAUAUUUUUUCUUGUAGAACAUAUUACAACAGAACGUGAAGAGGAUGCUAGGUUUUUCGGGUUAGCUUUUUGUCUUGCAGAAUAGAGCAAAACAUGAGUAAUGUUUCUUCGUCGUUAGAAUGUUAAACAAUUUGCAAAGUAUUGCAUUAUAGUUUGAUUCGUUUAAGUGGCCCAUCUGUGGUUCAGUUUCUGUAGUAUGAAAUUACCGUUCCAUAGUAUUUGAGAUUUUGUCCUCCUAUAUUGACUGAUGUGUAUGUGGAUUUGUAAUAUGUCUCGCUCGUGUCAAAGGGAAGCAUCUGAUCCAAGGAAUUGGUGCUGCACUAUUGCUUCUUUGCUCGUGAAAUUCUUUUUCUUGUUGAACAUAUUACAACCGAACAUGAAGAAGAUGCUAGGUUUUUCGGGUUAGCUAUUUGUCUUGCAGAAUGGAGCGAAAUAUGAGACAUGUUUCUUCGUCGUUAGAAUGUUAAACAAUUUGCAUAGUAUUACAUUUUAGUUUGAUUUGUUUAAGUGGCCUCUGCGGUUAAGUUUCUGUAGUAUGAAAUUACCGUUCCAUAGUAUUUGAGAUUUCGUCCUCCUAUUGACUGAUGCAUAUAUGGGUUUGUAAUAUCGUUGCUCGUGUCAAAGGGAAGCAUCUGAUCCAAGGAAUUGGUGCUGGUAUCCUACCUGUAGUUCUGGACAUUAGCUUGCUUGACGAAGUUAUUGAAGUAAGAGUUCAGCUCAUUUUAUUGCAUUUCAGUUCUAUAAGUUCUUGUUUCAUUUUGGUGCCAACAACUCUAAUACAAGCACGAAUUUCUCGUUAACGACUGCUGAUGUUUAUGUAACAUUUAGGUAACAAGUGAGGAAGCAAUUGAUACCGCGAAGCAGCUUGCCCUGAAAGAAGGUCUUCUGGUAUGGUAUCAAUUAGUUGACAUCGCUUUCACUUUUGUGUCGGUGCUAGGAGUUUGUUACUCUCCAUUAGUUUGUUAGACGAGAAAUUUGAGACUCCUCUUGUUGCACGCAUUCAUCAUUUUUCCAUUUACGGGUCUGAUUGUGAGAGCAAAUUAACAUUGCAGGUGGGGAUUUCAUCUGGUGCCGCGGCCGCUGCUGCAAUAAAGUUGGCUAAGAGGCCGGAAAAUGCAGGAAAACUCAUUGUUGUAAGUCUGAUUUUGCACUGACCCUUUAGCUUAUACUAUUUCUUCGCUUAAACUUGACUUGGAAUUGUAAAUUCGUAAUCAAAUGCAAUUCUUUCAAACAGACACUCCAUUGAUUUCUUCGCUUAAACUUGACCAGGAACUUAUUCCAUUGAUUUGUUACUUGUGAAGGCUGUGUUCCCCAGUUUUGGAGAGCGUUAUCUGUCUUCUGCACUCUUUGAUUCCGUUAGGCAUGAGGCGGAAAACUUGAGAAUUUACUGAAAGUGUUGCUGAAUCGGCCUUUUCUUACUUUCCCAGCUCCUUGAAAUAACGCGAAAACUUUGCUCCAGUUUGAAAUGAAAAUGUUUCUGGGACCUUAUAUAAGAUUAUUACGACCUUUUACCUUACCGAUGAACUAAUAAACUCUGGUUGAUGGCUAUCUUCUUGAUAGCAUCAGUAGAGCAUCCAUGUACCAUAUGAUUCAAGGGGAAUGAGCUAUAUGGUAGCUUACGAGCGAAACC
rnacentral:lncRNA from 1 species